AACGAACGCUGGCGGCAGGCUUAACACAUGCAAGUCGAACGCCCUAGCAAUAGGGAGUGGCGCACGGGUGAGUAACGCGUGGGAAUAUACCGAGUAGUGGGGAAUAACGUUGGGAAACUAACGCUAAUACCGCAUACGCCCGAGAGGGGAAAGAUUUAUCGCUAUUCGAUUAGCCCGCGUGAGAUUAGGUAGUUGGUGGGGUAAUGGCCUACCAAGCCUACGAUCUCUAGCUGGUCUGAGAGGAUGAUCAGCCACACUGGAACUGAGACACGGUCCAGACUCCUACGGGAGGCAGCAGUGGGGAAUAUUGGACAAUGGGCGCAAGCCUGAUCCGGCCACGCCGCGUGAGUGAUGAAGGCUUUAGGGUUGUAAAGCUCUUUCGCCGAUGAAGAUAUUGACGGUAGUCGGAGAAGAAGCCCCGGCUAACUUCGUGCCAGCCGCCGCCGUAA
rnacentral:rRNA from 1 species